AAGCUUCCUUACGUGGUGUACCAUGUUUCACUGUGAACAGUCCUAAACAACAAUCAUAAUAAUGUCAAGUGUCACUGCACCCUCAAUGAGGCUCUGCGGUAGCAGUUUAUAUAUUGCACUGUGUAGCAACGAGGAUCACUUUGGCCAAAAACAAACAUGGCUUCUGUUUUGCCUGAAACAAGCUGCUGUAAAAAAAAAAAAAAAAGCAAAACAAUCAUGUAAAACGGUACUUACUCCCAGAAAUCGGAUGUUCCCACGGCUUUCCAGCAGAAUAUGUAAACCAAGCUAUUUGUGUAAAAACCUCCGAAACUGUUGAUUACAUUUUGUCCCCCAAUUUUACUUCUGCUCAGUCCUAAUCUCCCCAGCUAUGUGCACUACAGACCCAUUUAAUCUCCUGCUUGCAUACCUCCAGCUCUUUCCAUUCACCAUGUCUCCAUAGACACACUUGUUUUAGGUCUGGGUGCUCCAAAGGCAAGCAAACUUCUUCCCUUUGAUUUCUACAUAUGGGCUUGAAAAGAACCUGACCAGCACCAGCACAGAUUUUAGGUCUCAGCUCCCUCGCUUUAAACCCAGGUUCUGGUUUUCAACCCUACAUUUAGUCUUCCUGUUUUGGGUCUCCCCAGCUUAUAAGGGAGGCUCCACCUCUUCUGUAGUUGGUGCGCCGCUGCUCUGCUGCAACAGGAGGAGGAGAAGCUGCAGGGCUAUAGGAG